rfam:Felis catus isolate Cinnamon breed Abyssinian chromosome A3, whole genome shotgun sequence.
GCCUGGGUGGCCCAGUCGGUUGGGCAUCUGACUUUGGCUCAGGUCAUGGUCUCGAAGUUUGUGAGUUCGAGCCCCGCGUCGGGCU